GGACUACCGGGGUUUCUAAUCCCGUUUGCUCCCCUGGCUUUCGUGCCUCAGUGUCAGGAAGUGUCUAGAGACUCGCCUUCGCCACUGGUGUUCCACUUGAUAUCUACGCAUUUCACUGCUACACCAAGUAUUCCAGUCUCCCCUCCACUCCUCGAGCGAGAUAGUAUCCGAUGCAGUUUCCGAGUUAGGCUCGGAGAUUUCACAUCAGACUUACCUCACCACCUACGCACCCUUUACGCCCAGUGAAUCCGAACAACGCUUGGGACCUCUGUAUUACCGCGGCUGCUGGCAC
rnacentral:rRNA from 1 species